GGCCAGACUCCUACGGGAGGCAGCAGUAGGGAAUUUUGCGCAAUGGGGGAAACCCUGACGCAGCAACACCGCGUGAAUGUUAAGCCCUUCGGGGUGUAAAGUUCUGUCAAUAGGGACGAAUUUUGACUGUACCUAUAAAGGAAGCACCGGCUAACUCCGUGCCAGCAGCCGCGGUAAUACGUAGGGGGCAAGCGUUAUCCGGAUUUACUGGGUGUAAAGGGAGCGUAGACGGCAUAGCAAGUCUGAAGUGAAAGCCCGUGGCUCAACCGCGGAACUGCUUUGGAAACUGUUAAGCUGGAGUACUGGAGAGGCAAGCGGAAUUCCUAGUGUAGCGGUGAAAUGCGUAGAUAUUAGGAGGAACACCAGUGGCGAAGGCGGCUUGCUGGACAGAGACUGACGUUGAGGCUCGAAAGCGUGGGGAGCAAACAGGAUUAGAUACCCCUGUAAG
rnacentral:rRNA from 1 species